rnacentral:rRNA from 1 species
AGUGAACGCUGGCGGUAGGCCUAACACAUGCAAGUCGAACGGCAGCACAGUAAGAGCUUGCUCUUACGGGUGGCGAGUGGCGGACGGGUGAGGAAUACAUCGGAAUCUACUUUUUCGUGGGGGAUAACGUAGGGAAACUUACGCUAAUACCGCAUACGACCUACGGGUGAAAGCAGGGGAUCUUCGGACCUUGCGCGAUUGAAUGAGCCGAUGUCGGAUUAGCUAGUUGGCGGGGUAAAGGCCCACCAAGGUGACGAUCCGUAGCUGGUCUGAGAGGAUGAUCAGCCACACUGGAACUGAGACACGGUCCAGACUCCUACGGGAGGCAGCAGUGGGGAAUAUUGGACAAUGGGCGCAAGCCUGAUCCAGCCAUACCGCGUGGGCGAAGAAGGCCUUCGGGUUGUAAAGCCCUUUUGUUGGGAAAGAAAAGCAGCAGGUUAAUACCCCGCCGUUCUGACGGUACCCAAAGAAUAAGCACCGGCUAACUUCGUG